rnacentral:rRNA from 1 species
GACGAACGCUGGCGGCGUGCUUAACACAUGCAAGUCGAACGCUGAAGACCUGGCUUUUGUUGGGUUGGAUGAGUGGCGAACGGGUGAGUAACACGUGAGUAACCUGCCCUCUUCUUUGGGAUAACGCCCGGAAACGGGUGCUAAUACUGGAUAUUCACUGAUCUUCGCAUGGGGGUUGGUGGAAAGGUUUGUUCUGGUGGGGGAUGGGCUCGCGGCCUAUCAGCUUGUUGGUGGGGUGAUGGCCUACCAAGGCUUUGACGGGUAGCCGGCCUGAGAGGGUGACCGGUCACAUUGGGACUGAGAUACGGCCCAGACUCCUACGGGAGGCAGCAGUGGGGAAUAUUGCACAAUGGGCGAAAGCCUGAUGCAGCGACGCCGCGUGAGGGAUGGAGGCCUUCGGGGUGUAAACCUCUUUCGCUCAUGGUCAAGCCGCAACGGGGGGUUGUGGUGAGGGUAGUGGGUAAAGAAGCGCCGGCUAACUACGUG